UACGGGAGGGGCAAGCGUUGUUCGGAAUUACUGGGCGUAAAGGGCUCGUAGGCGGCCAACUAAGUCAGACGUGAAAUCCCUCGGCUUAACCGGGGAACUGCGUCUGAUACUGGAUGGCUUGAGAUUGGGAGAGGGAUGCGGAAUUCCAGGUGUAGCGGUGAAAUGCGUAGAUAUCUGGAGGAACACCGGUGGCGAAGGCGACAUCCUGGACCAACACUGACGCUGAGGAGCGAAAGCCAGGGGAGCAAACGGG
rnacentral:rRNA from 1 species